AAAAGAAUUAAAAAUUAUUCCACCAAUUGCUGAUAUGAUACAUGCACAUAUGUCUAUAUUAUAAUGUAUGCAACUUCAAUCUCUUCUCAAAUAACGUGAAAAUUGUUUAGAGAUAUACAAGAAAUUAAACAAAUUAAUUAUAGCUUUGAAAUGUCGAAAUCGUAAGAAAAAAAAAAAAAAUUACUUGAUUGUAAUUCAAAGCCUCAGCGCUGGGAUCCAUAGCGGCAAGAGUUCCAACUGGCUUUCCUUUGAAAUACACGUAAGACUUCUUGAGCCUCUCCCACGCCUCCUCCACCAUCGCGCCGCUUUCUGGGCUCACCUGAAGCCCACCGACGUUCGAUCGUAUCCCAGGAGAUAUGUUCAGAUCGAAGACUUCCAGAUUCGUGCCGACGCUUGGACACGGUUUCAAAGUCGCAAGCUUCGCAACAUGCACAUUAUCAGACACCAUGUUGAUGCUCUGCAUUCUCACGGUCUUUUUAGCCUUUUCCGGCGGACUUCCUCCCAUCAUCUCAGGAGCAUAGGCAGCGGAGCAUUCCUCGGACUUCGAUUCUUCUCCUUUGCCUGAGGAGUCUGGACCUUUCUCAACGAAUUUUGAGCGUUCUUGUUCCAAGGAAGCUAAAGAUUUCUCAGUCGACUCUACUUUUAAUUUCUUAGCAAAAUCUAGAGAAAUCUCGCCUGAUUUAGAAGGUUCUUUAUCAGAAGAUAAAGAUUUACUGGUCUUUUUGAAACUCUUAACGUCAGAAGAAUACAGAGGUUCAUCAAUGGAUUUUGAACCCUCGGUUUCUUCAGAAACUGCAGGUUUCUCAUUAAUCUUAGAACCUUCAAGCACUAUAUAAUCUGAUGAUUUCUCGCUCGAUUUUGAAUCUGGUUUUUCAAGAUAUUUCUCAGGCGCUUGGGACUCAACUUGAGAGGUUGAAAUGCCGCUCUGUUUAAGACGAAGCAGAAUAUCAGACGCAGCGGCCUCUUCAUUUGCAGAGACAUCCUUCAAGGUGACUCGUGACUCUUCUGGCUUCACGUCUUUCGCCGGCGAGUGUUGGGUCUUAUUCUUUAGAACUUCUUUAUCCGUAAAACCACCGGUGGUCGAGUAACCGGCCGUCUUCAAUUUCGUAAGUGGAGACAGAGCAGCCUGUGGUUUGCACACCUCGUCCAGCUGAAGGAGAUCUCGCAGCUUCGGGUGCAUUCUAGAGAGAGUAAACACGAAGUGCACAAGUUAGAGAGAAAAAAACAGAUUCUAUAUAAGCAAUUUAGAGAAGGAAUUGAAAGUACGAGAUAGAUAUACGCUUCACAGUUCUUCGGCUCCGCUCAGGAGAGAAAGCGAAACGGUUUAUUGAGAGAAAAAGAGAGAAGUCAAGC
rnacentral:misc_RNA from 1 species